rnacentral:lncRNA from 1 species
AAAACUCCCUCUCAAAACAAACAAACAAACCAAAAAAACAAAUAGCAACAGCAACCACAAUCAUCAUCACCAUCAAGGCUGGAACAAGGAUGAGGCAGGCAGGCUCUGAUAGCAACAGGAGGAAGCAGACCAAGGAGGGAGAGAAAGGAAGGCAGAGAAGGGGAAAAAAAAACACAAAUGAUAAUAAUAGAUGCUGACAUUUACGGAGCACUUACUAUGUGCUGGGAACCAUGCUGACGGCACACCGAAUCCACUGAACAGGACCUACUGUUAAGUUUUCAAGACCACCCAGAAAGAAAUUUGAAGUUGGGUUUAUAUCCUUAAUCCCUCAGUUAGAAAAAAAAGAAAAGUGAAGAAACUGCAUCUCCAAGAUCCUGCUAUAUCAACUUCAGUUUUUUGAAGUUAAAUUUGAUUUUUAAAUCCCUUGGCUGAUGAGACCUGUGUGGGUUUUUUUUUGUUGUUUUUUUGUUUUGUUUUGUUUUGUUUUAUCAUUGUACCUCUAUUUUAAAAAUAGAGACUUGUGGUUCUUUUUCCAAAAGCAGUCCAACAGAAAGUGAAUGGUGGUCAAUGCAUAAUAAAAUGAGAGUUACCUUUUGACUUGGAAGAAUUAUUAGCAUUUUGAUUUGAUGGGUUCUUAGCUCUUCAAAUUCAAAAAUACCUUAUUCAAGUCUAGGAGUUUUCCAAAUACUUCGGUUCUAAAGAUUACCCUUUUUCGAUGCUUUGAAAACUAAAAGGGCAUAUCAGAAUAGAAAUCUGGCUGUUGAAUAACUUGUAAGCUCUGCAGAGACGUACAAAAACAUGGCCACUUUAGCCAGCGGUAUGGCGAAAGUCUGGGGCCCACACUACACACACACAUAUGAACUUCUCAUGACCCUCAAGUAUAUUCAUAUGAUAUAUCACAAAUACCAUAAAGCAGCAUUGUAAUAACAGGGAGGAAUUGAUUUUAAAAGGCCUACAUCAAAAUGAAUAGUCAUAAAAGUAUAAUAACCUAGACUGGAAAAUUUAGGGAUUAGAGCAUUUUGAACAUUAUACCUCAAAUUUAUAAAGGCUGUAUAUUAACAUUCACAAAGGUUUUUAAAGAUGGAAUAGCUAUGUACACAGUGAAUUUAUUCUAAAAUCCAGACUCAAAAAAAAAAAAGAAUAUGAACUCCUCCCCACCGUGUUCUGGACUAAAAUCAAUAAGUUCCCUUUAGGUAAUUAAAAUGCUGGUCCCACGACCUGCCAUCCUAUUCCCAGGCUUAGAAUGUUAGGAACACUGUUUCUGCUUUGAGAAUGGAAGAGAGCAGGUUACCCUGAUGCCUCUGGGGCCAAACACAGGGGAUACAUUUUCCCAGUAGAAGAAAUCAGCCCUGAUCCUCAAGAAGAAGAACAUAUUGGCAUAUUUUAGUGAGACUGAGGCAUACUGCAUCUUGGGGUAAAAACUGAAUCAUCAGGCCAGGCACGGUGGCUCACGCCUGUAAUCCUAGCACUUUGGGAGGCCAAGACAGGCGGAUCACCAGGUCAGGAGAUCUAGACCAUCCUGGCUAACACGGUGAAACCCCAUCCCUACUAAAACUACAAAAAAAUUAGCCAGGUGUAGUGGCAGGCGCCUGUAGUCCCAGCUACUCGGGAGGCUGAGGCAGAAGAAUGGCAUGAACCCGGGAGGCGGAGCUUGCAAUGAGCCGAGAUCGCGAUAGUGCACUCCAGCCUGGGCAAAAGAGCAAGACUCCAUCUCAAAAAAAAAAAAAAAAAAAAUUUAAUCAUCAAAGGAAAAUGUUUCAAAUUCUAGGGUAAGCUGACAUGGUACACAUAUACAGCGAAAUACACCCAGGGAGGCUGAAAGUCCAAUAGG